AGGAGGAGCAGGAGGAGGAUGAAGCUCAGUUCCAGGAGACAGAUUCAGGCAGUGAUGAAGACUUCCUGAUGGAGGAUGAUGAUGACAGUGACUAUGGCAGUUCAAAAAA